rnacentral:lncRNA from 1 species
UGUUUAAAUAAUUAAAAAGUAUGAUAUAAUGUGAAAAAUUUAAAAGUAUAACAGUAUAGUUUUGGUAUAGUAGAAUUCAUUCAUUUCAGUCCAAUGUUUCGACUUACACAAUACAAUCGACAGUGAAAUAUAUUUUGGAUCUGAAACACUAUUCUGACCAAUCCAAGUUCCUCAGAAGAAUUGGAGGGGCAUUGGUUCCUGAAAGGAAGCAUGGAGAGGAAUUAAUGGAGGUAUGUGUAUGGGGACAGUCAUGAAAUUAUGAUAAUGGGGCCUCAAACACGAGCUCAUGUGAACACUGAAAUGCAUGUGAAAGGACAUCAAAGCAACUCAAAUGAAAUAACUUCAAUACAUAAAUGGAUUAUCUCCUUAAAAAAAUUAUCUUGUGAAGCUAAACUCAUAGUUAAUCCCCUUACUUUUCUCUUUUACUUUUUUUUCUUUUUAAUAUAUAAUAUAUAAGGUUUAUAAAAAAACCUAUCGAUCUUCAAAUUUAGUUUUCUUGAACAAAUUCAUUCGAAUUUUUUUAUCAUUUAUUCAAACACUCUUAAAAUUCAUAAAAACGAAUAUAACUUUAAGUGUCAAUGCACUUGGGAGAGAAGAGAGAACGAAAAAUAAUUGUACUGAAUUACAUAUUAUAUAUAUAUAUAUAUAUAUAUAUAAUAUAAAUAUAUAUUAUAUAUUAUUAAUAAUAUAUAAAUAUAUAUAUAUAUAUAUAUAAAUAUAUACAUAUAAUAUAUAAUAUAUAUAUAUAUAUAAUAUAAAUAAUAUAUAUAUAUAUAGUAAUCUAAUUUGUGUCCCCAAGGAUAUAAGUUAAGAGAUUAUAUAGUAAUUUUUUUUGAAAUUAUGGUAAAUUUAAUACAUGUGUAUAAUUAAUUAUUUUAUUGAGUAUUUCAAUACGAAUAUUCUAUUUAUGAGUUUUUUAAUUUGUGUCUCAAUGACACAAAUUAGCAUUCCCUAUAUAUAUAUAUAUAUAAUAUAUAUAUUAUAUAAUAUAUAUAUAUAUAUAUAUAUAUAUUAUAUAUAUAAUAAUAUAUAUAUUAGAUAUUCUGUUAACGUAAGUGAUUAAUCAUAACAAACUAACUAAGUUGGAUUAUACACAACAUACUCACGUAUAAUCCAAAUUUCUAAAAACAAGUUAAUCGAUCUGAAUCAUUCCUAAUUUUUUUCUCAAAGUUAAAAAUCUAUCCAUCUUCAAUCCUUUGGUGGAAAUGUCUGUCAACUAUGCUUCACUCGAGCAAUGUCUCACUUCAAGUUCGCCUUGAUUUACCUUGUCCCUUAGGAAGAAAAAUCUAGAUUCAUUGUGCUUACUCCUUCCAUGAAGAACUGAAUUCUUUACUUCGACCUUGAUCUCAUCCAACACAACUCUGACCCAAAUUUCUUGACAAGCAGCAUAUGAUCCUGCUAUAUACCCAGCCUCACACAAUGAUAAUACCAUCACAUGUUGCUUUCUAAAGCACAAUGAGAUUGAGACACCAAAUACUUGAAAAAAACCGGUUGUGCUUCUUCGAUCUUCCUUAUCUCCACACAAAUCAACAUCUGAAUAAUAAUUAAUCAAAACUUCUUUGCUUUCAAAAUCUCAUGAAAACAAGAUUCCAUAAUUUAUUGAUCCUUUUAGGUAUCUCAGGAUUCUUCUUGUAGCCUUCAUGUGUGGCACCUUGGGUUCAUCCAUGUAUCUUCUUAUCAAUCCGACUAAAAAACAUAUAUCAGGCCUGCUACUACAUAGAUACCUCAGAGAUCCUACAAUUUAUUUGAACAAAGUGACAUUGACCUUGUCCUCCUCUCUAUGCUUAUCUAAUUUUAUAUUAGGUUCGACAAGUGAGGAUGCAGGAUUCAAAUCAUCCAUCACGAAUCUCUUGAGUAGUUAUUUUACAUACUUCCUUGGAUGCAGGAUUCCAUGCCUAGGAAAUAUGACAAGUUUCCCAGAUAUGACAUUUCAAAUUCCCUCUUCAUUAGCUCAUUAAACUUCGACAAGUUUUUCAUGAUAUUUCCAGUUUCUAGCAAAUCAUUGACAUAUAUAAAGAUGAUGGUUAUAUCUUGUGCCAUGACGUGUACAUAGACACCAUACUCAUACCUGCAUUUAAUGAAUCCCAAUUCGACUAAGUAUGAGUCAGUUUUCUUGUUCAUGCUCUAGGUGUCGGUUUGAGACCAUAAAGGGCUUUGUGUAACUUGUACACUUUCCUUGCUUCCUCAUGUAUCACAAACCUAUGAGGCUGUGUGACAAAUACAAAUUCAUCUAAGGGACCAUUCAAAAAUUCUUAUUUCACAUCUAAGUGAAAUAUCAACAAACCUUGCUUGCAUGCCAAAGCUACCACUAAUAUGACAGUCUUCAAUCUUGCUACUAGUGCAAAUACUUCAAAGUAGUCGAGUCCUGCUCUCUAAAUAAAUCCUCGAGCUACUGGUCUUUCCUUAUAUCCUGCAAUUGACCCAUCAGGAUUUUGCUCUAGCUUGAACACCCACUUCACUUCGAUAACUUUUGCGUGUGUUGGAAAUUCAACUAGAUCCCAUGUAUUGUUUCUUUCGAUCGCUUGCAACUCUUCGACCAUAAUCGCCUUCUAGUGUUUAUUCUUUAAGGCCUCACUAUAGUUGAUCGGUUUAACACAUACAAGUAAAGCGAGAUGAACCAAAUCUCCAUCUGGUGUGACUUCAUCACCACCAACAACUUCACAGUCUUGAAAACCAAACAAUGUUUGCAUUUGUUUUCUCCAUCAUAUCCAAUUUUUACCAUAUAGAAUUAGAAGAGAAUUGGAAAUACCAUUGCUAUCGUUCAUCUUUGCAGCAAACACGAUCCACGAUCCCCGAAAAUACGACCACCGACGUGCAAUUCUUGAAUUUACGAUCAAGAAAACGAACCACAAGCUCUAGAUAUCAAUUUGUUAGUGUCAAUGCACUUGGACGGGGGAGGAAUGAGAGAGAAGAGAGAAUGAAAAAUAAUUGUGUUGAAAUUGUUAAAACUAAAUUACACUAUACAUGUAUAUAUACAAAUAAGUUACUUGUAACUCAAGUAACUAAUCAUAACAAACUAACUAACUAACUUUGAUUAUAUCACAACAAUAACCUAUGAGUGAGACCGAUAAGAAACAAAUUACUUUCUUUAUCAAUUAGAUUUCCAACCAAAGAUAUUCUUUUUAUUUUAAUAAUUAAUGACACAACAAUUAAAUAAAUUUAUUAUUGACAAGGACUUUUCAAUAAAUUUACCCUAUCAAAAUGGUCAAUCCCAUACAACAAUCUAUUAAGAAACAAAGUUCAACACAUAUUUAUAAAUUUAACAAUAAUUAACUACAUCCAUUUAUAAUGGUUAACCAAAAGAGUUAAUCAAACAAUACUUACAUAUUAUAUAAUUGGUUAACUAAUAGAGUAUAUAAAUGAUUAGGGGUGGACAUCGGUUGGGUUGGAUCGGUUUUCGGGCCCAAAUUCCCAAUCCGACCUAACCAUCGGUUGGAAAAAACAUAACCAAAACCGACCGGUUUGCAAUUCGGUUAUUUUCGGUUUCGGUUUGUUCGUUCCGGUUUUCAUAAGGCGGUUUAUUCGGUUUUAAACAACUGCAUAUAUAUAUUCAUGUAUAAAAUAAUACUACUACAAAUUGUGCUUUGCUACUGCAUAACAUACAUUACUCCAUCAUGUUUGUGGAUCCACACCUGUUUUUGGUUUAACUAAGCGUUCCUAUGAUUUUAGACUUGGUUUAUAGAAGUUGUAAAUCAUAGAGUAAGUUCUCACAUAAUCACAUUAACUAAACACAGGCUAGAAUCAGACCUUAGCUAUUUUGAUAACAUUACAAAAGUAUAGUGACAGUAAUUUGCAAAGCGAUCAAUCAGAUUGAGGAUUUUACCUCCUCUGGAGCAAGG